AACGUAGGGCGCGAGCGUUGUCCGGAUUUAUUGGGCGUAAAGAGCUCGUAGGCGGCUUGUCGCGUCGACUGUGAAAUCCCGCGGCUCAACUGCGGGUCUGCAGUCGAUACGGGCAGGCUAGAGUUCGGUAGGGGAGACUGGAAUUCCUGGUGUAGCGGUGAAAUGCGCAGAUAUCAGGAGGAACACCGAUGGCGAAGGCAGGUCUCUGGGCCGAUACUGACGCUGAGACGCGAAAGCGUGGGGAGCGAACAGG
rnacentral:rRNA from 1 species